GGGGAAUAUUGGACAAUGGGCGCAAGCCUGAUCCAGCCAUACCGCGUGGGUGAAGAAGGCCUUCGGGUUGUAAAGCCCUUUUGUUGGGAAAGAAAAGCAGUCGGUUAAUACCCGAUUGUUCUGACGGUACCCAAAGAAUAAGCACCGGCUAACUUCGUGCCAGCAGCCGCGGUAAUACGAAGGGUGCAAGCGUUACUCGGAAUUACUGGGCGUAAAGCGUGCGUAGGUGGUUGUUUAAGUCUGUCGUGAAAGCCCUGGGCUCAACCUGGGAAUUGCGAUGGAAACUGGGCGACUAGAGUGUGGCAGAGGGUAGUGGAAUUCCUGGUGUAGCAGUGAAAUGCGUAGAGAUCAGGAGGAACAUCCGUGGCGAAGGCGACUGCCUGGGCCAACACUGACACUGAGGCACGAAAGCGUGGGGAGCAAAC
rnacentral:rRNA from 1 species